UACGAAGGGGGCUAGCGUUGCUCGGAAUUACUGGGCGUAAAGCGCACGUAGGCGGCUUUCUAAGUCGGGGGUGAAAUCCUGGAGCUCAACUCCAGAACUGCCCUUGAUACUGAGAGGCUCGAGUCCGGGAGAGGUGAGUGGAACUCCGAGUGUAGAGGUGAAAUUCGUAGAUAUUCGGAAGAACACCAGUGGCGAAGGCGGCUCACUGGCCCGGUACUGACGCUGAGGUGCGAAAGCGUGGGGAGCAAACAGG
rnacentral:rRNA from 1 species